rnacentral:rRNA from 1 species
AACGAACGCUGGCGGCAUGCCUAACACAUGCAAGUCGAACGAGACCUCCGGGUCUAGUGGCGCACGGGUGCGUAACGCGUGGGAACCUGCCCUUAGGUUCGGAAUAACUCCCCGAAAGGGGAGCUAAUACCGGUUAAUGUCUUCGGACCAAAGAUUUAUUGCCGUUGGAUGGGCCCGCGUUGGAUUAGCCAGUUGGUAGGGUAAAAGCCUAUCAAGGCGACGAUCCAUAGCUGGUCUGAGAGGAUGAUCAGCCACACUGGGACUGAGACACGGCCCAGACUCCUACGGGAGGCAGGAGUGGAGAAGAUUGGGGAAUGAGCGAAUGCCUGAACCAGCCACGCCGCGUGAGUCAUGAAGGCCUUAGGGUUGUGAAGCUCUUUUUGCCGGGGUGUUAAUGACAGUACCGGGUGAAUAAGCUCCGGCUAACUACGUG